rnacentral:rRNA from 1 species
UUGGAGGGCAAGUCUGGUGCCAGCAGCCGCGGUAAUUCCAGCUCCAAUAGCGUAUAUUAAAGUUGUUGCAGUUAAAAAGCUCGUAGUUGAAUUUCGGGGUUAGUAGGUUGGUCAUGCCUCUGGUAUGUACUGGUCUCACUGAUUCCUCCUUCCUGAUGAACCUUAAUGCCAUUAAUUUGGUGUUUUGGGGAAUUUGGACUGUUACUUUGAAAAAAUUAGAGUGUUUAAAGCAAGCUAACGCUUGAAUACAUUAGCAUGGAAUAAUGAAAUAGGACGUUCGAUCCUAUUUUGUUGGUUUCUAGGAUUGACGUAAUGAUUAAUAGGGAUAGUUGGGAGCAUUAGUAUUCAAUUGUCAGAGGUGAAAUUCUUGGAUUUAUUGAAGACUAACUACUGCGAAAGCAUUUGCCAAGGAUGUUUUCAUUAAUCAAGAACGAAAGUUAGGGGAUCGAAGACGAUCAGAUACCGUCGUAGUCUUAACCAUAAACUAUGCCGACUAGGGAUCGGAUGAUGUUAAUUUUUUAAUGACUCAUUCGGCGCCUUACGAGAAAC